UACGUAGGGGGCAAGCGUUAUCCGGAUUUACUGGGUGUAAAGGGAGCGCAGACGGCAGUGCAAGUCUGAUGUGAAAGCCCGGGGCUCAACCCCGGAACUGCAUUGGAAACUGUACAGCUUGAGUGUCGGAGAGGUAAGCGGAAUUCCUAGUGUAGCGGUGAAAUGCGUAGAUAUUAGGAGGAACACCGGUGGCGAAGGCGGCUUACUGGACGAUUACUGACGUUGAGGCUCGAAAGCGUGGGGAGCAAACAGGAUUAGAUACCCGCGUAGUCCCU
rnacentral:rRNA from 1 species